rnacentral:rRNA from 1 species
CCUACGGGAGGCAGCAGUAGGGAAUAUUGGGCAAUGGGCGAAAGCCUGACCCAGCGACGCCGCGUGAGGGAUGAAGGUCUUCGGAUUGUAAACCUCUUCCAGUAGGGAAGAAGCGAAAGUGACGGUACCUAAAGAAGAAGCACCGGCUAACUAUGUGCCAGCAGCCGCGGUAAUACAUAGGGUGCAAGCGUUGUCCGGAAUUAUUGGGCGUAAAGAGCUCGUAGGUCGUUUGUCGCGUCGAUUGUGAAAAUCUGAGGCUCAACCUCAGACCUGCAGUCGAUACGGGCAAACUAGAGUGUGGUAGGGGAGACUGGAAUUCCUGGUGUAGCGGUGGAAUGCGCAGAUAUCGGGAGGAACACCAAUGGCGAAGGCAGGUCUCUGGGCCAUAACUGACACUGAGGAGCGAAAGUGCGGGGAGCGAACAGGAUUAGAUACCCUGGUAGUCCGCACCGUAAACGGUGGGCACUAGUUGUGGGAACCUUCCACGGUUUCCGCGACGCAGCAAACGCAUUGAGUGCCCCGCCUGGGGAGUACGAUCGCAAGAUUAAAACUCAAAUGAAUUGACGG